CCGAGCAGCCGGGGAGGUAGCGGUUCCCUGUACUGACAAUCCGCUAUAGUCAGGGUGAUGCUCUGCCGAGGGGCGAAGUGAUAGAGCUGCCCUUUGUAAGUGGCGUUGAGAUCUGGGUCUUGCGCAAUAGGAACCUACGAACCGUGUCAGGUCGGGAACGAAGCAGCACUAAGUAGGAGCUCUUAUGUGCCGUGAGGUCACCUGGGUUGAGUUAACUGCAGAGGUAACGUCUGUCCCAUUGUUUCGACGCAGAGCGCUCGG
rnacentral:SRP_RNA from 1 species